GUCUGCAGCUAUACUAUCUUGAAUACACCCUAUCUCAUCUGAUCUUGGAAGCUAAGCAGGGUCAGGCCUGUAUAGUAUUUGGAUGGGAGACUUGAUUUAUACCAAUGGAUGUGCAGGGG
ensembl:rRNA 5S_rRNA 5S ribosomal RNA